rnacentral:rRNA from 1 species
UACGUAGGGUGCGAGCGUUGUCCGGAAUUAUUGGGCGUAAAGGGCUCGUAGGCGGUCUGUUGCGUCAGGAGUGAAAACUCGGGGCUUAACCCCGAGCCUGCUUCUGAUACGGGCAGACUAGAGGUAUGCAGGGGAGAACGGAAUUCCUGGUGUAGCGGUGAAAUGCGCAGAUAUCAGGAAGAACACCAAUGGCGAAAGCAGCUUUCUGGGACGGUACUGACGCUGAGACGCGAAAGCGUGGGGAGCGAACAGG